rnacentral:rRNA from 1 species
AACGAACGCUGGCGGCAGGCUUAACACAUGCAAGUCGAACGCCCCGCAAGGGGAGUGGCAGACGGGUGAGUAACGCGUGGGAAUCUACCUAGUUCUACGGAACAACAGUUGGAAACGACUGCUAAUACCGUAUACGCCCUACGGGGGAAAGAUUUAUCGGAAUUAGAUGAGCCCGCGUAAGAUUAGCUAGUUGGUGGGGUAAUGGCCUACCAAGGCGACGAUCUUUAGCUGGUCUGAGAGGAUGAUCAGCCACACUGGGACUGAGACACGGCCCAGACUCCUACGGGAGGCAGCAGUGGGGAAUAUUGGACAAUGGGCGCAAGCCUGAUCCAGCCAUGCCGCGUGAGUGAUGAAGGCCUUAGGGUUGUAAAGCUCUUUCACCGAUGAAGAUAAUGACGGUAGUCGGAGAAGAAGCCCCGGCUAACUUCGUG